rnacentral:rRNA from 1 species
UACGGAGGGUGCAAGCGUUAUCCGGAUUCACUGGGUUUAAAGGGUGCGUAGGUGGGCAGGUAAGUCAGUGGUGAAAUCCCCGAGCUUAACUUGGGAACUGCCAUUGAUACUAUUUGUCUUGAAUACUGUGGAGGUUAGCGGAAUAUGUCAUGUAGCGGUGAAAUGCUUAGAUAUGACAUAGAACACCAAUUGCGAAGGCAGCUGGCUACACGAAUAUUGACACUGAUGCACGAAAGCGUGGGGAUCAAACAGG